rnacentral:rRNA from 1 species
GACGAACGCUGGCGGCGUGCUUAACACAUGCAAGUCGAACGGAAAGGCCCUGCUUUUGUGGGGUGCUCGAGUGGCGAACGGGUGAGUAACACGUGAGUAACCUGCCCUUGACUUUGGGAUAACUUCAGGAAACUGGGGCUAAUACCGGAUAGGAGCUCCUGCUGCAUGGUGGGGGUUGGAAAGUUUCGGCGGUUGGGGAUGGACUCGCGGCUUAUCAGCUUGUUGGUGGGGUAGUGGCUUACCAAGGCUUUGACGGGUAGCCGGCCUGAGAGGGUGACCGGCCACAUGGGGACUGAGAUACGGCCCAGACUCCUACGGGAGGCAGCAGGGGGGAAUAUUGCACAAUGGGCGGAAGCCUGAGGCAGCAACGCCGCGUGCGGGAUGACGGCCUUCGGGUUGUAAACCGCUUUCGCCUGUGGCGAAGCGUGAGUGACGGUAAUGGGUAAAGAAGCACCGGCUAACUACGU